ACCUUACUAUUAAGAUCCGGAAUAUCUCUAAUUAGUAAGAAUUAAAAGAUUAACUAUCGACAUUUGGCAUCACUAUAAAUAUCAUUUUAUAUGCAAUUUGUAUGGAUGUCUGUAUGCAUGAAGUAUGCACGUCAAUGUGUACGUUUUAUAACUUGUUACAGUGAGUAUUGAAUUAGCGCUAGUGUCAAAACACACAAGAUGAAGUCGAUUUUUAUUUCAAUUUCACACGUAAAAUAAGCAAGCAAAAAAUGCUUCGAGCAACGGUUUACAACUACUUCCUAACGACCAGAAACUAUUGAUAUCUGGUGGUGACGCGGCAGCUAGGGAGCUGCACGAGGUCAGGC
rnacentral:misc_RNA from 1 species